rnacentral:rRNA from 1 species
UGGGGAAUAUUGCACAAUGGGCGCAAGCCUGAUGCAGCCAUGCCGCGUGUGUGAAGAAGGCCUUCGGGUUGUAAAGCACUUUCAGCGAGGAGGAAGGUGGUGAGCUUAAUACGCUCAUCAAUUGACGUUACUCGCAGAAGAAGCACCGGCUAACUCCGUGCCAGCAGCCGCGGUAAUACGGAGGGUGCAAGCGUUAAUCGGAAUUACUGGGCGUAAAGCGCACGCAGGCGGUUUGUUAAGUCAGAUGUGAAAUCCCCGGGCUCAACCUGGGAACUGCAUUUGAAAGUGGCAAGCUAGAGUCUCGUAGAGGGGGGUAGAAUUCCAGGUGUAGCGGUGAAAUGCGUAGAGAUCUGGAGGAAUACCGGUGGCGAAGGCGGCCCCCCUGGACGAAGACUGACGCUCAGGUGCGAAAGCGUGGGGCAGCAAACAGGAUUAGAUACCCUGGUAGUCCACGCUGUAAACGAUGUCGAUUUGGAGG